AUUGACGUCAUCAACGUGUGCUGUGCGUCAGAGUUGAAUAUGGAAGCGGGGAGUAAGAUGUAAAACACCCUGCAGCGGAGGGAAGUUUUCCCGUAAACAACGACUCAAAAUGUGGCCUGAGGCCAUGGCCACGCUGUUCUGCGGAUGAAAAGGCAGUUAGGACCGUUUGUUUUGCGCUCAACAGAAAAUCACAGUCGACUUGAACGACACGGAG
rnacentral:lncRNA from 1 species